GACGAACGCUGGCGGCGUGCUUAACACAUGCAAGUCGAGCGGUAAGGCCUCUUCGGGGGUACACGAGCGGCGAACGGGUGAGUAACACGUGGGUGACCUGCCCUCAGCUCUGGGAUAAGCCUGGGAAACUGGGUCUAAUACCGGAUAUGACCUUUCCUCGCAUGGGGUUUGGUGGAAAGUUUUUUCGGCUGGGGAUGGGCCCGCGGCCUAUCAGCUUGUUGGUGGGGUGAUGGCCUACCAAGGCGACGACGGGUAGCCGGCCUGAGAGGGCGGCCGGCCACACUGGGACUGAGACACGGCCCAGACUCCUACGGGAGGAAGCAGUGGGGAAUAUUGCGAAAGGGGCGGAAGCCUGACGCAGCGACGCCGCGUGGGGAUGACGGCCUUCGGGUUGUAAACCUCUUUCGACCCCGACGAAUUUGGACGGUAGGGGUAGAAGAAGCACCGGCCAACUACGUG
rnacentral:rRNA from 1 species